rnacentral:lncRNA from 1 species
UUUAAAGAAAAACGUAAAUCACUUCUUUUCUUCUCGAAACUCCUCUAACGAUGCACUUUAGAUUAACAAUAGGACAUUAUAAAAAUCGUAAAUCUCGCGUGACAUUGUAACUUUUGCAUCCUAGACAAAGAGCACAGCGCCCUUUUUUCGGAGUAUAAAUAGAGGUCCCGCGGAAGCGCAGAGCGUCAGUACAAAACUCAAAAUCACCGGUUCACGUCAGUGAAGUUCGCGAGUUAAACUAUUGUCGCGAGCAGUGCGAAAAUCUUAUCAGAACCCGCGAUAAUCACGCCAGUUCGCGGUUUCAUACGAGUGCGAAGAAAAAAGAUAAAUUGUGGGCAAAUCGUCACUGCGAUUAUCAGGCAUACGCCACUGCGACUGCUCUUCUGGCGCUCUCUGUGGACAACGGACCUCCUCACAUACCAACCGGUAGCUACCCGAGAUCUCGUGGACAGCCAGCUAACCAGAAAGUGCAAAACUUGAUCAAGCCUAAAGCUGUUAAACAGAUUGAUAGAUCUGAUGAAUAAAUCUGUAUCGGUUAACUGAAGGCUUGUCCAAUGAUGAAUUCACUUGGUUCGGAGUCAUUGUCGCUUCUAAGCUACGAGCCCUUAGUGCGAAUGCAAGCGAGGUGGCGAUGCUCGCAUAAAACAUUAUAACACGAAUGGCACACUUGUCUGGCCAAUUGGCCAUUCCUGUUCCCCGCGGUCCGCACGCCAAGCGAUCGGUAGAUGUAGUGACAUACACUUGGCAAUAGUAGGCCGGACGGACGUGUGUAUUCGGCUAUAUUAAAAGAUUAAUAUCUCGUUAACUUGGGAAAAUUGCAAAAUGGUAAACGAUUCAUUCGACUCAGUUUAGUCCGUUCUAUCUGCGCAUUAAAUAUUUGCUGGUUAUUCUGGGACACCCUGUAUGCAAAAAGUCAAGCAAGAACAAGUUGACCAGGAAGAAGCCGAGCUAAUAGAAAGAAACAUAGAGUGACAGUUUGAACAAUAGUGAUCGGCUGAUAAACCUGCUAGCAAAAAAGGACGCAAUAAGGAAUUUCUCAUAGCGGAAGUGCGGAAAUGACUCUCUUUGAAAUUUUAAAUUGCACAUUUCCUAAAGAGGUGCUCGUACUAAAGAGAAGCUGUGAAAAAAAAUAGCUGACAAUAUAAAAGGAGAAAUAACUGUACAGAGAUAAAAAAUGGAAGUUAUUAUCCGAAAUUUUCAGGAAAUUUCGUAAAACUCACAAACAGCCGAGUGGUUCUAGCGGCUGCUAAGAAAGAUUACUUCUAGGCCAUUUCCUUCAAACUCCCAUCAUUCGUACUACAUAUGUAUAGUCAAAGCUCCCAAUUUUCCCACAUAGUACGCGGACGUAGUUCGAGUAUAUAACAUUAUAUGAGUAUACAAACAUAUUUCGAAUAUUCUAUUGAAGGAUGCAAAAGAAAAUGGUAGAAUCUCUGUGAUCUCCACUUUAUGCAGAUUGUUUCAGCGGAGAAACUGCCAAGAUGGAAUGUCAGUCAAAGAAGAAUAAAUGGCGUUUUUAUAAGUCACUAAACUUUACGUGACACAUUAUUAACAAGAGAAACUAUAUCGAACACGUUAGUCUGUAACAAUGAUAAGAAAAACGAAGAAAAAAAAGAAGAAGAAUCUUGACUAGAUGAUUUUUACUAUGUUGGAUUUUACGCCCAUCAUUUUAAUAUGAAAUAGCAAGAAACGGAAAGAGUAAGCAGAAACUUGAACAAGGAUAUUAUCUUUGCGCAAAUAAGCGAGGCAUUACACGAGCCGCUGACAGUUUCUUUGCCAUCAAUUUCGGUAAAACGGCGGAUGAAGAAGAAGAGCAUUUCGGAAUGAUUUCCUUAUAGCUUCGUGCAAUAUAUUAUCGGACUUUAUGAUUGUCUUAUUUGCGAUUGCGAAUAAUCGUAUAGAUUCAUAAUAGAUAUAUUGUAGAAAUUAAAGAGCAUCAUUUUAGACUUGUUAAAGAUUUGACACAUAUAUGAAAAAGAAAACUUCAUAUAUGUGUUCAUGAUUCAUAAUAAAAGAAUAUAUUCAUAAUAAAAUGACAGAUUGACUUGCAAAAGAAGCGACAGAAGAAGAAUCUGAUCUUAGUGUCGAGGUUCCACUGAGAAAUUUUAGACAAGAGACUUGGAAUAUGAUAUAGGACAGAACUGUGAAUGAGGCAAGAUUCAAAGGCCAAUUUUAUUUUGAAAAUUUCUAUGAGAGAAACAAAAAGAAACCACUGUUUCAUAAAUUGAACAGGGAGAGAUAUUUUGUUACUUUGGUCAAACAUUCGAUUAAAUCGAAUCAUUUCAAGUUACUAAAAUGUUUCAAAAUAUUUCUUACUGGAUUCUUAUUAGUUCAUUGGGACAUUUGCCUUACUCGGAGAGCAUCCCGUUUCACGUUGCAAUAUAGCUAAUCGUAACGAUCGAUGCUUAUAGAGUUUUAGCAAAUAAGCGCCUUGUAACAUGUAGUCAAUAUUCUUGUUAACUUAUAAAAGUUAGUUUUUUUCGUUCGUUUUUGUUUUAUUUAGGGUAUGCAAG